GCCUGGAUAGCUCAGCUGGCUAGAGCAUGGCGCUGAUAAUGCCAAGGUUGCAGGUUCAGUUCCUGAAUCUGACA